CCUACGGGUGGCUGCAGUGGGGAAUAUUGGGCAAUGGAGGCAACUCUGACCCAGCAACGCCGCGUGAAUGAUGAAGGUCUUCGGAUUGUAAAGUUCUUUGAUGGGGGAUGCCCACAAUGACGUUACCCCAAUAGCAAGCCACGGCUAACUACGUGCCAGCAGCCGCGGUAAUACGUAGGUGGCAAGCGUUAUCCGGAAUGACUGGGCGUAAAGGGUGCGUAGGUGGUUUAGUAAGUAAGCGGUGUAAUUCCGGGGCUCAACCGCGGCGCUACAGCCAAACCUAUUAGACUAGAGUGCAGGAGGGGGAAGUGGAAUUCCUAGUGUAGCGGUGGAAUGCGUAGAUAUUAGGAGGAACAUCAGUGGCGAAGGCGACUUACUGGACUGUAACUGACACUGAGGCACGAAAGCGUGGGGAGCAAACAGGAUUAGAUACCCUUGUAGUC
rnacentral:rRNA from 1 species